rnacentral:rRNA from 1 species
UACGGAGGGUGCAAGCGUUAUCCGGAUUCACUGGGUUUAAAGGGUGCGUAGGUGGGUCUGUAAGUCCGUGGUGAAAUCUCCGAGCUUAACUUGGAAACUGCCAUGGAUACUAUAGGUCUUGAAUACUGUGGAGGUCAGCGGAAUAUGUCAUGUAGCGGUGAAAUGCUUAGAUAUGACAUAGAACACCAAUUGCGAAGGCAGCUUACUACCCGAAUAUUGACACUGAGGCACGAAAGCGUGGGGAUCAAACAGG